rnacentral:rRNA from 1 species
AUGGUUGAGGGCUCCGCGUCCGAUAUUGCCAACCUGAAGUUUCUCCUCCUAUGCUUCCAACAGAUGUCCGGUCUUACCAUCAACUUCAAUAAGAGCGAAGUGAUGGUUCUGGGAUUCCCCUCGGUGGAGGCCCAGGGCAUUGCGGACCGGCUUAACUGCCGCCUGGGUUCUCUCCCCACGACUUAUCUGGGAAUCCCCAUUAGUGACUCGCGCCUCACCGUAGCGGACCUCCGCCCUUCCGUGACCCGAAUGCAACACCGGGUCAAGCCCUGGAAGGGCCGAUGGCUCUCGAAGGCGGCGAGGGUAAUCCUCAUCAACUCCUCGCUGGCUAGCCUCCUUUGGUUCCUCAUGAGCUUCUAUAGCCUCCAUGAGACGCUUCACCAGGAGGUGGCCAAAUAUCAGUCCAGGUUCUUCGGGGCUGGCGAGGGGGACAAGCAAAAAUACCAUAUGGUGAGCUGGCCUGACAUUUGCAAACCCAAGGACCAGGGAGGUCUGGGGAUCUUAUCUUCCCGUUGCAUGAACAUUGCUCUCCUGACCCGAUGGCUAUGGCGUAUCGCCAACGGGGAGGGUGGCCUCUGGCUUCCAUCAUCCAGAAUAAGUAUCUCCGGGGCCAACCUCUAG